UUUGCAUUUGAAGCCCAUGAGGAUGAGAACCUCCGGGGGCAGGGAGGUUCGACUCCAGCAAAGCGAGAGAACGUUGUGGCAGCAACGGCCCGCAGUGGCGAGUAAUCCUCUGGCACCGACCA
rnacentral:sRNA from 1 species